rnacentral:tRNA from 1 species
GGGGAUGUAGCUCAAUUGGUAGAGUGCUUGCCCAGCAUGCAUAAGGCCCUCGGUUCAAUUCCCUGCACUGCCA